rnacentral:rRNA from 1 species
AACGAACGCUGGCGGCAGGCUUAACACAUGCAAGUCGAGCGCCCCGCAAGGGGAGCGGCAGACGGGUGAGUAACGCGUGGGAGUCUACCCAUCUCUACGGAAUAACGCAUGGAAACGUGUGCUAAUACCGUAUACGUCCUUCGGGAGAAAGAUUUAUCGGAGAUGGAUGAGCCCGCGUUGGAUUAGCUAGUUGGUGGGGUAAAGGCCUACCAAGGCGACUAUCCAUAGCUGGUCUGAGAGGAUGACCAUCCACACUGGGACUGAGACACGGCCCAGGCUCCUACGGGAGGCAGCAGUGGGGAAUAUUGGACAAUGGGCGCAAGCCUGAUCCAGCCAUGCCGCGUGAGUGAUGAAGGCCCUAGGGUUGUAAAGCUCUUUCACCGGUGAAGAUAAUGACGGUAACCGGAGAAGAAGCCCCGGCUAACUUCGUGCCAGCCGACGCGGUAACAC